AACAGAGGCCUCAAGCGUUAGGCGGAAUCACUGGGCUUAAAGCGUGUGUAGGCGGAUGCCUAAGUACCUUGUGAAAUCCCACGGCUCAACCGUGGAACUGCUGGGUAUACUGGGCGUCUUGGGCCAUUCAGGGGCGACUGGAACAAGCGGUGGAGCGGUGAAAUGCGUAGAUAUCGCUUGGAACGCCGAAGGUGAAAACAGGUCGCUGGGGAUGUGCCGACGCUGAGACACGAAAGCCAGGGGAGCAAACGGG
rnacentral:rRNA from 1 species